rnacentral:rRNA from 1 species
GAUGGUCAUGCGUCCCAUUAGGUAGUUGGUAGGGUAACGGCCUACCAAGCCGACGAUGGGUAGCUGGUCUGAGAGGAUGAUCAGCCACACUGGAACUGAGAAACGGUCCAGACUCCUACGGGAGGCAGCAGUGAGGAAUAUUGCGCAAUGGGCGAAAGCCUGACGCAGCAACGCCGCGUGCGGGAAGAAGGCUCUUCGAGUUGUAAACCGCUGUAGCAGGGAAAAAAGAUGCACGUUUCGGCGUGUAGUGAUGGUACCCUGAAAGUAAGCCUCGGCUAACUACGUGCCAGCAGCCGCGGUAAUACGUAGGAGGCAAGCGUUGUCCGGAUUUACUGGGUGUAAAGGGUCCGCAGGCGGGCCCGUGAGUCGGUGGUGAAAUCCUCCAGCUUAACUGGAGAGCUGCCUCCGAUACUGCGGGUCUUGAAUCAAGAAGAGGGGGACGGAAUUCCAGGUGUAGCGGUGAAAUGCUUAGAUAUCUGGAAGAACACCGGUGGCGAAGGCCGUUCCCUGGUCUUCGAUUGACGCUCAUGGACGAAAGCGUGGGGAUCAAACAGGAUUAGAU